rnacentral:rRNA from 1 species
UACAGAGGUCUCAAGCGUUGUUCGGAUUCAUUGGGCGUAAAGGGCGCGUAGGCGGCGGGGUAAGUCUGGUGUGAAAUCUUGGAGCUUAACUCCGAAACUGCAUUCGAUACUGCCGUGCUUGAGGACUGGAGAGGAGACUGGAAUUUACGGUGUAGCGGUGAAAUGCGUAGAUAUCGUAAGGAAGACCAGUGGCGAAGGCGGGUCUCUGGACAGUUCCUGACGCUGAGGCACGAAGGCCAGGGGAGCAAACGGG